UCACUGAAGGGGUUUUAACCCCUUUAGCAACUUAUGAUGGGGGGUGGGAGGGAGGAGACCUGCAGUGCCAGGAAAAUGGUUUGUUUUCCUGGCACUGGAGGGUAAGACAAGCUUCUGAAGCUGUGUCCUUAAAGGGACACUAUAGUCACCCAGACCACUUCAGCUCAAUGAAGUGGUCUGGGUGCCAGGUCCCUCAGGUUUUAAACCUUCAGAUGUAAACAUAGCAGUUUCAGAGAAACUGCUAUGUUUACAUUUGGGGUUAAU